rnacentral:lncRNA from 10 species
UAAAGCAUUUAACUGGAAAGGACCUUGGAAAUCCUUUUAAAGGAGGAUGGGGGUGGAAAUGCACAGGUUGCUUCUCUCUCUCUCUCUCUUUUUUUUUUUUUUUGAGACGGUCACCCAGGCUGUAGUGCAGUGGCGUGAUCUCGGCUCACUGUGGCCUCCACCUCCCAAGUAGCUGGGAUUACAGGCUUGCGCCAUCAUGCAGGGCUAAUUUUUGUAUUUUUAGUAGAGACGAGGUUUCAUCAUGUUGGCCAGGCUGGUCUGGAACUCCUGACCUCAAGUGAUCUGCCCACCUUGGCCUCCCAAAGUGCUGGGAUUAAAGGCAUGAGCCACCACGCCUGGCCUAGGUUGUUCCUCUACUGUGAAUCUUGAGGUUAUGGUUUCCACUAGACUAUAGUGCUCAACUAUAGUGGCCUAUUUUAAGUGGCCUUAUAAUUCCUAACCAAAGUGACUUGUGAAACAGAGGACCCUGGAUAAAUUUAAAUGUUAUAAAGAUGAUAAAAUGUACAGGGUGAAGAGGGAACAGAAAUCUUUGCCCCCUGACUUUGGAAAUCUCGUUUAACCUUCAAACUGGCGAUGUCAAGGGUUCCAAGUCCUCCACCUCCGGCAGAAAUGUCGAGUGGCCCCGUAGCUGAGAGUUGGUGCUACACACAGAUCAAGGUAGUGAAAUUCUCCUACAUGUGGACCAUCAAUAACUUUAGCUUUUGCCGGGAGGAAAUGGGUGAAGUCAUUAAAAGUUCUACAUUUUCAUCAGGAGCAAAUGAUAAACUGAAAUG